UCUAAUGUGGCAGAUUAGUGCAAUGGAUUUAAGCUCCAAACAUGAAAGGAAGUCUUUCCCUUAGAA
rnacentral:tRNA from 2 species